ensembl:lncRNA
GUGAAAAUGGCUUACCUAACUUUGAGAUUCUUGUUGCUGUACUUCAUUCUAAAAGUGACUGCCAUAAAGCUCUGGUCUCCUCCCGGAUGGAUGAUUAAAAUGCCAUGUCAAUAUGAAUAUGAGGCUCAAGGAAGUAUCCAGCAGUUGUCCCUACAGUGGAGAAGCCCCAGGAACCAGCUCCUCUGUCACCUGAUCAAGCACAAAACGUACAGCAACUGCACAGCUGGAUAUUCAGUGCACUACAACCCAGGGAAUAUUACUCUCAUCAUCGCUGAGGUGAGGCAGGAGGACUUUGGGAGGCAUGUGUGUUCUGUGAGCAAGCUUCAUGAAUUCUCAGACUUCAGCAUUGAAUUAUACCAGAAGGAAGAUCUCUCUGCUGAAUUACCAAAAGGCAAGGUAGAUCAGUCAGGUACAGUAUGUAAUUGUAUUCACUUAAUUGAGAAUUUCAAUUCAAAGAGCAUUAAUGAAAUGUCAUGGGUAGUUUUUGAGAUGAUAUUAGUUUAUUCAUUGAGUACCUAACUCUUACCCACAGGUUCUGCAAAGGAUCAUUUCUUCCUUCUUGGGUGCAGUCUUUUUGUAUCCAUAUUUGGGUAAUAGGACAAGAAUAAUGUUCAUCAUUACAAUAAUGAUCACCAGACUAAUGUUUCAUAUUAGAUGCCAUAUAUUCUGAGAUAGCAAUUACCUGGGAUUUAUACAGUCCAAAAAUAAGAAGUCAAUGUUUUAUUAUUGUUAUUUUUUUCAUAACAGUACCACUGGAUGGCAGUAUACUCAUAAAUAUCACUGAAACACAUUUUUUAAGCUACAAGGCCUAAAGUAGCCUACUUUAUAUAUAAAAUAAUAUAUAUAUAUAUAUAUUAUNNNNNNNNNAUAUAUAAAACAACAUAACACAAACACUACAAAAUGCAUUGCAUCAUUCAAAAUAAUGGAAAAAAAAAACACCUGUGGAAAAUCAAUAUGGAAAAUUCUAUCACAUCAGCAUAGUACAUUGGGCCCUAUUUUAUAGACUUUUCUUGGAAUGUCAUUUAUUUAUUUUAAAAUUAGCAUGGGUAUAAGAUUUAAGUUCUUUCGGACCUAUCAACCAAGUUGCUUUGUGCAUCAUUGUUGUCACUCAUUCAGAAUGCACAGUGUGUUUAUGCAUGUGCAUGUUUAAAUGUGUUAAUAGUGGGGGUGUGUAAUGCCAAAUCAGCAUGUCAAUUAAAUGACAAAAUAAAUACAACAAAACAAAGGUUUUAAAAUACA